GUCCACGCAGUAAACGAUGAGUGCUAGUUGUCGGGGCUUUGGGCUUCGGUGGCGAAGUUAACACGAUAAGCACUCCGCCUGGGGACUACGGUCGCAAGACUAAAACUCAAAGGAAUUGACGGGGACCCGCACAAGCAGUGGAGCAUGUGGUUUAAUUCGAUGCUACGCGAAAAACCUUACCACCUCUUGACAUCUGGAUGACCGGUACAGAGAUGUACUUUUGGAGCAAUCCACAUCCAAGACAGGUGUUGCAUGGCUGUCGU
rnacentral:rRNA from 1 species